AUCCCGUUCUUUGUAGUUUUUUUUGUGGGGAAAUCAACAUUUUGGUCCAUCAACUGUUUCUUAACUGUCAAUGUAAUCCAUAAUUUUCAAUUUCAACCAAUUUAAUCAUCGAAUUGUUUAAAAUUUUGCCAAUUAAACCCUUUCAGAGACCAAAUUGAUGAAAUUUUUAAAAUGUGAAAAUCACCAUUUUAGUCACUAAAAGAUUUAAUUGACGAAAUUUUAAAUAAUUCGAUAAUCAAAUUGGUUGAAA